AAGACCUUGCACUUUUGGAGCGGCCGAUGUCUGAUUAGCUAGUUGGUGGGGUAAUGGCCUACCAAAGCUUCGAUCAGUAGCUGGUCUGAGAGGACGGCCAGCCACACUGGGACUGAGACACGGCCCAGACUCCUACGGGAGGCAGCAGUGGGGAAUUUUGGACAAUGGGCGCAAGCCUGAUCCAGCCAUGCCGCGUGAGUGAAGAAGGCCUUCGGGUUGUAAAGCUCUUUCAGCCGGGAAGAAAAGGUUGCGACUAAUAAUCGCAAUCCAUGACGGUACCGAAAGAAGAAGCACCGGCUAACUACGUGCCAGCAGCCGCGGUAAUACGUAGGGUGCGAGCGUUAAUCGGAAUUACUGGGCGUAAAGGGUGCGCAGGCGGUUCUGUAAGUCAGAUGUGAAAUCCCCGGGCUUAACCUGGGAACU
rnacentral:rRNA from 1 species